CUGCAGCAAGACACAGGACACACUUGGUGUGUUUAGCACAGCACAUGGACAGAAACCUCUCCCAAAGAUCCUGCUGAUGAGCCUUUUUCCUCCUCAUGAGUGUUCCUGAUCUGAUGGGCUUCUCCCGCUGCUGCAGGUCAACACAUGCACCAACACACUUAAAUGAAGCGAUCAGACCUGCGUUACCAUGGAUAAGAUGUUCCUGAUCCUGGGAAGACACACAUUUACUGACAAUCACCUACAGACG